rnacentral:piRNA from 1 species
UUGAGGCCUCACUGAAGAAACA